GAUGAACGCUAGCUACAGGCUUAACACAUGCAAGUAGAGGGACCGGCGCACGGGUGAGUAACACGUAUCCAACCUGCCCUUUACUCGGGGAUAGCCUUUCGAAAGAAAGAUUAAUACCCGAUAUAAAGGAUGGGGAUGCGUUCCCUUAGGUUGUUAGUGAGGUAACGACUCACCAAGCCUUCGAUGGAUAGGGGUUCUGAGAGGAAGGUCCCCCACAUUGGAACUGUGAAACGGUCCAAACUCCUACGUGAGGCAGCAAUUACGAAUAUUGGUCAAUGGGCGCUAGCCUGAACCAGCCAAGUAGCGUGAAGGAUGAAGGCUUAUGGGUCGUAAACUUCUUGUAGAUAAGAAUAUGCAUUAUAUGAAUAAGGAUCGGCUAACUACGUGCCAGCAGCCGCGGUAAUUC
rnacentral:rRNA from 1 species